rnacentral:rRNA from 1 species
UACGUAGGGUGCAAGCGUUAUUCGGACUUACUGGGCGUAAAGCGUGCGCAGGCGGCGUUGUAAGACCGUUGUGAAAUCCCCGGGCUCAACCUGGGAACUGCAUCUGUGACUGCAUCGCUGGAGUGCGGCAGAGGGGGAUGGAAUUCCGCGUGUAGCAGCGAAAUGCGUAGAUAUGCGGAGGAACACCGAUGGCGAAGGCAAUCCCCUGGGCCUGCACUGACGCUCAUGCACGAAAGCGUGGGGAGCAAACAGG